rnacentral:rRNA from 1 species
CCUACGGGAGGCAGCAGUGAGGAAUAUUGGUCAAUGGCCGCAGGGCUGAACCAGCCAAGUCGCGUGAGGGAUGACGGUCCUAUGGAUUGUAAACCUCUUUUGUCAGGGAGCAAAGGGCGCCACGUGUGGCGCUUUGCGAGUACCUGAAGAAAAAGCAUCGGCUAACUCCGUGCCAGCAGCCGCGGUAAUACGGAGGAUGCGAGCGUUAUCCGGAUUUAUUGGGUUUAAAGGGUGCGUAGGCGGGCUUUUAAGUCAGCGGUAAAAAUUCGGGGCUCAACCCCGUCCGGCCGUUGAAACUGGGGGCCUUGAGUGGGCGAGAAGCAGGCGGAAUGCGUGGUGUAGCGGUGAAAUGCAUAGAUAUCACGCAGAACCCCGAUUGCGAAGGCAGCCUUCCGGCGCCCUACUGACGCUGAGGCACGAAAGUGCGGGGAUCGAACAGGAUUAGAUACCCGGGUAGUC